rnacentral:tRNA from 1 species
GGGGCUGUAGCUCAGUGGCAGAGCGCUUGCCUCUCAUGCAUGAGGUACUGGAUUCAAUUCUCAGCAUCACA